rnacentral:rRNA from 1 species
CCAGUGAACAUUAAACGGCCGCGGUACCCUAACCGUGCAAAGGUAGCAUAAUCAUUUGUCUACUAAUUAUAGACCUGUAUGAAUGGCAAAAUGAGGGUCUGACUGUCUCUUAUAAUAAAUCAAUUAAACUGAUCCCCUAGUAAAAAAGCUAGAAUACACACAUAAGACCAGAAGACCCUGUGAAGCUUAAACUAAACUAUUAAAUCAACUAAUAGCUACUUUCGGUUGGGGCGACCUUGGAAAAAAAAAGAACUUCCAAAUAUAUGACCUACCUCAAUACCACGCAGGCCAACAAGCCAAAAACGACCCAGCACAGCUGAUAAAUGAACCAAGUUACUCCAGGGAUAACAGCGCAAUCUUCUUCA